ACACGUAGGGGGCGAGCGUUGUUCGGAAUCAUUGGGCGUAAAGGGCGUGCAGGCGGUCGUGCAAGUCCGGCGUGAAAGACCCCGGCCCAACCGGGGGGACGCGCUGGAAACUGCAGGGCUUGAGUACAGGAGGGGAUGCCGGAAUUCCAGGUGUAGGGGUGAAAUCUGUAGAUAUCUGGAAGACCACCAAUGGCGAAGGCAGGCAUCCGGCCAUGUACUGACGCUGAGACGCGAAGGUGCGGGGAGCAAACAGGUUUAGAUACCCUGGUAGUCCGCACAGUAAACGAUGUGCACCAGGUGGCGGGGGGUCGACCCCCGGUACCGUAGCUAACGCAUUAAGUGCACCGCCUGGGGAGUAUGCUCGCAAGGGUGAAACUCAAAGGAAUUGACGGGG
rnacentral:rRNA from 1 species